GAUGAACGCUGGCGGCGUGCCUAAUACAUGCAAGUCGAGCGAACGGACGAGAAGCUUGCUUCUCUGAUGUUAGCGGCGGACGGGUGAGUAACGCGUGGAUAACCUGCCUAUAAGACUGGGAUAACUUCGGGAAACCGGAGCUAAUACCGGAUAAUAUUUUGAACCGCAUGGUUCAAAAGUGAAAGACGGUCUUGCUGUCACUUAUAGAUGGAUCCGCGCUGCAUUAGCUAGUUGGUAAGGUAACGGCUUACCAAGGCAACGAUGCAUAGCCGACCUGAGAGGGUGAUCGGCCACACUGGAACUGAGACACGGUCCAGACUCCUACGGGAGGCAGCAGUAGGGAAUCUUCCGCAAUGGGCGAAAGCCUGACGGAGCAACGCCGCGUGAGUGAUGAAGGUCUUCGGAUCGUAAAACUCUGUUAUUAGGGAAGAACAUAUGUGUAAGUAACUGUGCACAUCUUGACGGUACCUAAUCAGAAAGCCACGGCUAACUACGUG
rnacentral:rRNA from 1 species